rnacentral:rRNA from 1 species
GCUUAUGGCCAUACCACCCUGCAUACUCCCGAUCUUGGAAGCUAAGCAGGGUUGGGCCUGGUUAGUACUUGGAAGGGAGGCCUCCUGGGAAUACCAGGUGCUGUAAGCU